GUUACCGCGGAGCGAAGGUCGCUCUACGGGAUCAACAGCGAAGGUGAUGCUUCCGCAGUUCCCUCUGCUGAAUUCCUGACCUCCCUGGUCCCUGAGUGUGGGUGCAUCCCAAGGCUGAGUCCUGGAACCUCUUCUCUGUCUAUACCUGCUGCCUUUCUUCAUCAUCUCAUCACAUGGCUUUCAGCACCACCUAGGUGUCUCGCAGUUUAUCCUCUCCAUCCAGACGUCUGCCUUAAACCGUCAAUCCUGUGUCCAACUGUCUCCUCGACAUCUCUGCUGGGGACGUCUAACAGGACUCUCCACCUUAAUUUGUCCGAAACUGCUCUUGGCCUCCCCCAACCCUGUUCCGCCUGCCGUCCUCCACAUCUGAGUUAAGGGCGACCCUGUGAAUAUCUCGGCAUUGUUUGAAGUCGACUUGAAAGACUCCUAUUGCCUGAGGAAGAAGCCCGGAAGAGGAGGGAGAGGAAAGAAAGAGGAGUCUGGAAUGGCUCUUUCUCAGG